rnacentral:rRNA from 1 species
UACGGGCCGCAGCAGGCGCGAAACCUCUGCAAUAGGCGAAAGCCUGACAGGGUUACUCUGAGUGAUUUCCGCUAAGGGGAUCUUUUGGCACCUCUAAAAAUGGUGCAGAAUAAGGGGUGGGCAAGUCUGGUGUCAGCCGCCGCGGUAAUACCAGCACCCCGAGUGGUCGGGACGAUUAUUGGGCCUAAAGCAUCCGUAGCCGGUUCUGCAAGUCUUCCGUUAAAUCCAGCCGCUCAACGGAUGGGCCGCGGAGGAUACUACAGGACUAGGAGGCGGGAGAGGCAAGCGGUACUCAGUGGGUAGGGGUAAAAUCCUUUGAUCCAUUGAAGACCACCAGUGGCGAAGGCGGCUUGCCAGAACGCGCUCGACGGUGAGGGAUGAAAGCUGGGGGAGCAAACCGGAUUAGAUACCCGGGUAGUCCCAGCUGUAAACGAUGCAGACUCGGUGAUGGGCUAGCCUUGUGCCAGCCCAGUGCCGCAGGGAAGCCGUUAAGUCUGC